GGGGUCGUUACGGAUUCGACAGGCAUUAUGAGGCUUGUUCUGCAACUCGAAUGGCGGCGUAACCGCUCAGUUUAAAUAUAACUGCAAAAAAUACAAACUCUUACGCUUUAGCUGCCUAAAAAACAGCGGGUGUGACCAAUCUCAAAUUGCUUGUGUUUGUGCAUUGGUCUUAAAAUAGCAAGCUACGGCAAGAGUCUGUCAGGAACUUUUGCAAGAGAUCAACUGACUCGUAAGAUUUGGGCCUGAGUUAUGUGUCAAAGUCUUGUUAAAUCAAUACAUAACCUAUAGUUGUAGACGAAUAAGUUAGCAGAUGUUUGGACGUGGGUUCGACUCCCACCGGCUCCAUAA
rfam:Streptococcus sp. FF10 genome assembly, contig: CONTIG000004